CAAAAAGUAGUAUAAUUUAUUACAACUCGUUUACACCGAGUUAAAGGUUUAACAUCCCUUUUUGA
rnacentral:tRNA from 1 species